rnacentral:rRNA from 1 species
UCAGGAAUAUUGCGCAAUGGAGGAAACUCUGACGCAGCGACGCCGCGUGGGUGAUGAAGGCCUUCGGGUCGUAAAGCCCUGUCGGGAGGGAAGAAAAAUCUGCUGGCUAAUAUCCAGCAGGUCUUUGACGGUACCUUCAAAGGAAGCACCGGCUAACUCCGUGCCAGCAGCCGCGGUAAGACGGAGGGUGCAAGCGUUGUUCGGAUUGACUGGGCGUAAAGGGCGUGUAGGCGGUUGGUCAAGUCUGGUGUGAAAGCCCGGGGCUUAGCUCCGGAAGUGCGCUGGAAACUAGCCGACUGGAGCGCGAUAGAGGAGGGUGGAAUUCCUGGUGUAGCGGUGAAAUGCGUAGAUAUCAGGAGGAACACCGGCGGCGAAGGCGGCCCUCUGGAUCGUUGCUGACGCUGAGACGCGAAAGCGUGGGGAGCAAACAGG